GCUCGGCUAGCUCAAUGGCAGAGCGUGAGGCUUUUAUAGCUACCUCAAGGCUGUGGGUUCGACCCCCACGUCGAGCG